CGAAAGAGGAAUAGGUGAUGGGGAGGGAGUGGGGGUGCCGGAUUACCGGGGAUCAAUGUGAUCAGAUAUCAGAGACACCUAAUUAGUUGUUUCUUUCACCCACAACACGUCACCUGCUUCAUUUUUCUUUUAUCACGCACAAAUUCUCGGAUCCAAAUCCAAUCUCUCAUUUUUUGUUUUUCUAUGUAUUAUCCGUACUUUUUUCAAGUACAAUAUUGGUUAAUUUAAUUAUCCUCAAUUAUUUCUUUCGUAAUCAAUUAUUUUAUUUUAUAUAUCUUUUUUUAGAUAUAGUUUCUUUCCAUGCCAAAAAAGUUAUGCAUUUUUUUCUCAAUUUUUUAAUUUUUUUGCUAAAAAAUUGAAACACGCCCUUACCCGUGUCGAGGGAGAGCGUCGUCUCUCUUGUCUGUGAGAAUUGUUUCCUCCGUUUGUUAUGGUGUGUGUAGGGGUUGGAAAUCUUGUGCCUUAGGAUGAGGGAUUUCAUGGUUAGAUCUUGCUUUAUCUGAAGCUUCAGAAGUCUUCUCCACGGAUAAUCCAAGCAGGCUGUUGUUUUGUCUCCAUGGAACUCUGCUUGUUGGAUUUAGGUGAAGUUGUGCGUCCAAAAGUCCCUUUGGUAGCCGGUGGUGGCUUCUAUUGGCGAUGAUAGUGCAACGCAACGCGCAUGUGUUCUUCUGCCCGGAUCUUCUGGUUUCGUUCCCCAUAUGUUUAGCUCUAUAACUCCUUGUAAUUUUGGCUGCGGAUGUUUGUAUUUGGCCUUGAGAGAGAA